UACGAAGGUGGCAAGCGUUGUUCGGAUUUACUGGGCGUACAGGGAGCGUAGGCGGUUCGGUAAGCCCUCUGUGAAAUCUCCAGGCUUAACCUGGAACAGUCGGAGGGGACUGCUGGGCUAGAGGACGGGAGAGGAGCGCGGAAUUCCAGGUGUAGCGGUGAAAUGCGUAGAUAUCUGGAGGAACACCGGUGGCGAAGGCGGCAUCCUGGACCGGCAUUGACGCUGAGGCGCGAAAGCCAGGGGAGCAAACGGG
rnacentral:rRNA from 1 species